CGGGUGAGUAACACGUAUCCAACCUGCCGUCUACUCUUGGACAGCCUUCUGAAAGGAAGAUUAAUACAAGAUGGCAUCAUGAGUCCGCAUGUUCACAUGAUUAAAGGUAUUCCGGUAGACGAUGGGGAUGCGUUCCAUUAGAUAGUAGGCGGGGUGACGGCCCACCUAGUCUUCGAUGGAUAGGGGUUCUGAGAGGAAGGUCCCCCACAUUGGAACUGAGACACGGUCCAA
rnacentral:rRNA from 1 species